rnacentral:rRNA from 1 species
GUGAACGCUGGCGGUAGGCCUAACACAUGCAAGUCGAACGGCAGCACCGUAAGAGCUUGCUCUUACGGGUGGCGAGUGGCGGACGGGUGAGGAAUACAUCGGAAUCUACUUUUUCGUGGGGGAUAACGUAGGGAAACUUACGCUAAUACCGCAUACGACCUACGGGUGAAAGCAGGGGAUCUUCGGACCUUGCGCGAUUGAAUGAGCCGAUGUCGGAUUAGCUAGUUGGCGGGGUAAGGGCCCACCAAGGCGACGAUCCGUAGCUGGUCUGAGAGGAUGAUCAGCCACACUGGAACUGAGACACGGUCCAGACUCCUACGGGAGGCAGCAGUGGGGAAUAUUGGACAAUGGGCGCAAGCCUGAUCCAGCCAUACCGCGUGGGUGAAGAAGGCCUUCGGGUUGUAAAGCCCUUUUGUUGGGAAAGAAAAGCAGCAGGUUAAUACCCCGCUGUUCUGACGGUACCCAAAGAAUAAGCACCGGCUAACUUCGUG